UGAUCUUGAGGCAGAAACUGAG
rnacentral:miRNA from 2 species